rnacentral:rRNA from 1 species
UGCGUAGGCGGGUCUUUAAGUCAGGGGUGAAAUCCUGGAGCUCAACUCCAGAACUGCCUUUGAUACUGAGGAUCUUGAGUUCGGGAGAGGUGAGUGGAACUGCGAGUGUAGAGGUGAAAUUCGUAGAUAUUCGCAAGAACACCAGUGGCGAAGGCGGCUCACUGGCCCGAUACUGACGCUGAGGCACGAAAGCGUGGGGAGCAAACAGGAUUAGAUACCCUGGUAGUCUACGCCGUAAACGAUGAAUGCCAGCCGUUAGUGGGUUUACUCACUAGUGGCGCAGCUAACGCUUUAAGCAUUCCGCCUGGGGAGUACGGUCGCAAGAUUAAA